rnacentral:rRNA from 1 species
UACAGAGGGGGCAAGCGUUAUUCGGAAUUAUUGGGCGUAAAGGGCGCGUAGGCGGCCGGACAAGUGGAAGGUGAAAUCCCCGAGCUCAACUCGGGAACUGCCCUCCAAACUGUUUGGCUUGAGUCCGGGAGAGGGAUGCGGAAUUCCAGGUGUAGCGGUGAAAUGCGUAGAUAUCUGGAGGAACACCGGUGGCGAAGGCGGCAUCCUGGACCGGCAUUGACGCUGAGGCGCGAAAGCCAGGGGAGCAAACGGG